UUCUCGUUGGCUGAGAAGCUUAGGCUGCCGCCUGCAAAGCGGUAAUACAUGGGUGCAAAUCCCAUACGGGACUCCA
rnacentral:tRNA from 1 species